rnacentral:lncRNA from 1 species
AAUAGGCCGUUCCAACAUGCUGUCAAAAUUAAAUCAAUAUGGCUACUGGGAGUAAAAGAUAAAUGUUAUUCUAUCUGUUCUUAAUGUGCUUUAGAUAAUUUUAGUUGUAUUUCUUUGUAAUUUUGUGUUGUACAAAGAUUAAUUUAACAUUUUCUCUGGAAGUAUUAAUUUAGAAAGAUAAUAUGCUCCAUUGGUGUUGUGUUUUAAAGUGUGAAAUGCAAAGUAAUCGUGAUAAAGGCAAGAUAAAGUUCACUUUUAAACUGAACUAAAUAAGGUAUCAUCUGAGAGACAACAAUGGUUAAAUGCAAUACAAUGUAAAGGUUUUACUAGCGAAAUGAAAAUUCUCCUGUCCUGUCUGCUGUAAUCAUUUUAUAUCUGGAAAACUAGCCGACUUAAUCGAUAAUAACAAUCCAGAUUGGGUUCCUUCAAUAAAUUGGGCUAUAAACACAAUGAAAUAAGUUACCCAAAAUCUAAAAUGGAGUGGUAUCAAAGGAGAAUUAAA